AAUGCCCCAUUUCUUCAGAAAAAAAAACCUUCAUCCAAACUGGGAAACACCCUCCGCGCACUUUCAAAACAGAGGCUCGAAAAAAAAGUAGAUAUGAAAUGCUCAAUAAAUGGCAGAGUGAGCAAAUAGCUUUAAAUUGUUCGCAAAAGUAAUUGAAUUCAUUUCUUUUUAAGAAACUAAAACAAGACAUGAAAAUAAACCGACUCCACGAAUUAUUGUCCAAGGUGGUGCGCAUUACACUUUGCGGUUUGAUACGCGGGAAGAACAACUUUUAGAAACAAUGAGCGAAGCUGCAAAUGAAGGAUAUAAAAUUUUAAAGG